UGGGGAAUUUUGGACAAUGGGCGCAAGCCUGAUCCAGCAAUGCCGCGUGCAGGAUGAAGGCCUUCGGGCUGUAAACUGCUUUUGUACGGAACGAAAAAGCUCUCUCUAAUACAGGGGGUGAAUGACGGUACCGUAAGAAUAAGCACCGGCUAACUACGUGCCAGCAGCCGCGGUAAUACGUAGGGUGCAAGCGUUAUCCGGAUUCACUGGGUUUAAAGGGUGCGUAGGUGGGCAGAUAAGUCAGUGGUGAAAUCUUCCGGCUUAACCGGGAAACUGCCGUUGAUACUAUUUGUCUUGAAUAUUGCGGAGGUAAGCGGAAUAUGUCAUGUAGCGGUGAGAUGCUUAGAUAUGACAUAGAACACCAAUUGCGAAGGCAGCUUACUACACAAUCAUUGACACUGAGGCACGAAAGCGUGGGUAGCGAACA
rnacentral:rRNA from 1 species